rnacentral:rRNA from 1 species
UCGCCUGUUUUUCAAAAACAUUUCUUAUAGAAAUUUUUAUAAGUAAUACCUGCUCAAUGAAUAAUUUUUAAUAGCCGCGGAAAUUUAACUGUGCUAAGGUAGCAUAAUCAUUAGCCUCUUAAUUAGAGGCUUGUAUGAAUGGUAAAACAUUUCAAUUUCUUUAUUAAUUUUAAUUCUUUAAUUUAAAUUAAGAAUAAAAAUGUUUCUUAUAAAUAAAAAAGACGACAAGACCCUUUUGAACUUUACUUUAGUUUAGCUGGGGCAGCUAUUAAAUAAUUAUCUUUUUCUAAUUUAUUAAUUAAAUGACCUAAUAUAAUUAAUUAUUUGAACAAGUUACCAUAGGGAUAACAGCGUAAUAUUUUUCUAAAGUUCUUAUUUAAAAAAGUGAUUACGACCUCGAUGUUGAAUUAAUGUAACUAUAUAGAUGCAAUAAUCUUAAAAGUAGGUCUGUUCGACCUUUAAAUCAUUACAUGAUCUGAGUUCAAACCGGA